rnacentral:lncRNA from 1 species
CUCGGCUCCUGCUCCAGCCGCACGAUGUGAUCCACAGCAAGGAGGGACGCCAAUAAGGUGUCUGAUAAGAUAAGUCUUAUAAAAUAUAUAGGUUUAUGAUAGUUAAGACUGAGCUAACAGAUGAGAAUCCUAGUCAUUGGCCAAGCAGCAUUGUACCUAAUACAAGUUUCUGUGUAUUCAUUUGGGCCUAACUCAGGCGGGCAGCUGGCGUAAAGCUCACAUGUGGCAGUGGGGCUCAGGCAGCUUUUGGCGGAAAGAUUUAUUGUAACAUUGCUGUGCCAGGCCUGGUGACAUAUUCUGGCUAUUCUAACAUUCAGAAGAUGGAGGCAGGGGGAUUGUGAGUUUGAAAUGGUCUUUUUACUUUCCCUGUUGCCCUGGUGAAAACUACCAGGUUUCUCUUUAAUGGCACUUAUCUCUUUAAUAAUUAAAGCUGCUCUGUCAUAUGCACUCACCUCAUAUGAAAUGUCAAACAAGCUCAUCAUAUUCACAAAAGUUCCUAUUUUUUAUGUUCUACUUUUUGCUCUUUCUUGGUGUAUCCCUGGAUAAAAGUGAUGAGCAAUAGCCAUGGCACAGCCUGAAUGCUAUGCUGACUUGACGUUUCCUCUUCCAAAGACAUCAGUCCCUUACUCUCUAUUGCUGGUCACUCGUGUGCUGUGGUAUGCAUACAGAGGUUAGAUGACAAUGUGAAGGCUAUCUGCUACUAUUUGGCUCAAUCUCAUACAAGUUGUCAGGACAUACACAGAAUGCUGGCAAGUUCCUUGACAAAAUGCAUCAAUAAUGUUCUCUAGCCCCAUUCUCAACACAAUCCUUGCUCUCCUCUGAAAUUCUUGAGCCAGGCCUAUACUGGUCACAUUUCUCUGUGCCCUUUGUCUCCUAACCCCCCACUAGAACAUCCCAUUAAGCUCUACUUAGAGUAAUCAAGGGCUUUUCUAACCCAAAGUUCCAGACUCUUCCACAUUUCACCUGUAAACUAGUUCCAAAGCCCAAAACCAUGUGAUUGUCAACAGGAGCAACAACCGCACUCCUGGUACCAAUUUUGACUUUGUUGCUUUCCCUGUUGCUAUUGUAUAAUGGCUUGGUAAAGCCAGCUUAAGGGAAGAUACGGUCAGUCUGUCAUUAUGACAAGGAAGCCAUGAUGCCUGGAGCUAAGGAAGAUGGUCACUGUCUUGAGGAAGAUGUGUCUGCUGUCGGACAGCAGGGAGUGAUGAAUAUUGGAGGUCAGCCUCCUUUGCCCUUUUUACUCAGUCCAGGACCUCAGCCCGUGGAAUGGCGCCACCCCAAUUAAAUCUGAUACUUCCACCUCCACUGACCUAAUCUAGAUAAUCUCAAGGGCAUGUCAGAGGUUUGUCUCAUUGAUGAUUCUAGAUCCUGUCAAGCCUGACAAUCACAUAAAUAUAAACUACCACAGAGACAGUGGCUCCCAAAAACAGCCAUGCUGAUGGAGAUAAGUAACACGAGAAAAUGACUGCAGACAAGUGAAAUUUCCUUUAAUAAUGUACUGGGAACUGAUAGAAGCAUCUGUAAUAGAAAAUACAUCUACGUGAGUAGGGAUUGCACACAUCAAUUGUAUUUAAUGUCAGAACUAGCUGGAUAUGUUUUCACGUUUUUCUUUUUUUAUACUUACAUUUUUGUCAUGGUGUCAACAGUAUAAUUUUAUAGGAAAACGUUUAUUAACAUUGUACAGUUAAGUAGGAUAAGUGGCAAAUUGUCACAGUAGGAAAGCAUUGGUAUGGGAAUGAGAAUUCCUGAGGACAGGUAGCAGAUCUGUUGCUAAUGAGCAAGGUCAUGUCCUUUCAUUUCCAAAACUAACAGUCUGCAAAAGCGAAGAAUAAGAAAUGCCAACUCGGCCAGGCAUUGGUGGCGCACACCUUUAAUCCCAGCACUCGGGAGGCAGAGGCAGGAGUUCGAGGCCAGCCUGGUCUCCAAAGCUAGUGCCAGGAUGGGCUCCAAAGCCACACAGAGAAACUCUAUCUCGAAAAACCAAAAAAAAAAAAAAAAAAAAAAGAAAAAAAAGAAAAGAAAAGAAAAGAAAAAAGAAAAAAAAAAGAAAUGACAACACUGGGGCUGGAAUGAUGGCUCAGAGGUUGAGGUUAAGAGCACUGGCUGCUCUUCCAGAGAACCUGAGUUCAAUUCCCAGCACCCACAUGGUUGCUCACAACCAUCUGGUGUGCAAGGAUACAUGCAGGCAGAACACUGUAAACAUAAUAAAUAAAUACAUUUUUUUAAAAAAAAGAAAUCCCAGCAACCAUACAGGAAUAUGAUCAAAUGUGAUGCUGACAUACAGGCCAUGUUAACAUUCUUCUUGACACUGGCUUCUCCGUUAACAGUGAUUUAGAUGAAAAUCUAUGUAAAUGACCAAUGUGAGACAAAUCCUCAGGUAAAUAUUCCAAAUAGAUAAUCUAUUCUCACUCAGCCACAGAUAAACAACUCAACUAAAACUAGACAAUGAGCUUGAACAGGAUCUUCUUUGGAAUAGUCUACAGAUUACAAAUAGUCAAUAGAUAGACGAGAAGAAGAUGCCAAACACCCUCAAUCACCUAGGAGAGGACAUCAAAACUACAAGGAGAUGCUUCCUCUCACCUGUCAGGGAGCUGUUAUCAAGAAGACAAAUGGUAACAAAUAUGCGAAAAGCUGUGGGGGACAGGAGCCCUGUCCACUGUUGACAAGGAUGUACAGUGAUUAUGACAGAUGAGAAGAACCUCAAUGGGGGGCCUCCAAACUAUUGAAACAGAUGCUAUCUCCAUCUCUCAAGUGAUACAGCAAUUAUAAAGGUAUGUUAAUUAUAGCAGGAAAGUCAAAAUACUAGAACAACCCAAAGGUCCAUUGACAGAAAAACAAGAUACAAUAUGUACAUACAGUAAGUAUUAUUUUGCAUUUAUCUGCAUAAGAUAAACACAAGGGCAUUCUACAAUGUAAAAUACUCUAGUCAUAGAAAGCUGAAUGCUAUGUGGUCCUGUGACUAUGAGGUGUGAACAGUAGAAGGUGACUGGAGAGUGAGGCUGAAGCUAUGGCAAUGAUUUCCAGCUCCUGGGAGAUGGGGAGCUUUUGUUUGAUGGUAUAAAGUUAUGCUAAAUAAAUAAGUUAUAAAGAUCUGUACCAUGAUAUGCCUCUAAUUAGCAACACUAUGUUACUUACAUAUUUCAACACAGGUUAAGAGGGUAAAUCACCUGUUAGACUUCCUCACCACAAAAACAAGCAAGCAAAGAGAUGCCAGGAGCUGUAGGAUUUGGUGGAUGUGUCUAGUAUGGUGAAAUUUGCAUAUUCCCAACUCAUCAAGUUGUCCACAUCAAAUAUGUAUGGUUCCUCGUGUAUCAGUUAUCCUAAAAUGAAGCUGGCAGAAAACCAGGAGGUGGAUCUUAGAGUUUCUGAGUUGCUUCCACUGUCAAAACCAAACUGACCAAAGAAUUCCAAAGCACUCAGCAUUUUUGUUGGCUUUGGUAAAUUGGAGUCUGAUCAUUUCCCUUUUUUUUUUAAUUAAAUAUUUUCUUGAUGAUUUCUCUGUCACUUGUGUUUCAGGCACACCCUCACUAGGUCUGUGUCUUACUUUGUGUGAGAAAACACUGUGGCUAAAAACACAGAAGGAGGAAGAGGCUUUCUUUCAGCUUUCAGUCCCACAGCACGGUUGUGGUGGCUUGAAUGAAAAUGGCUCCUAUAUCCCCAUGAAGAGUGGAACAAUUAGGAGGGGUGCCCUGUCGGAGUGGUUGCAGUGUUGUUGGAGGAAGCAUGUCAUUGAGGGCGGGCUCUGAGGUCUCAGAAGCUCAAGCCAAGCCUAGAGGUUCACUGUCUGUUCCUGCUGCCUGCAGAUGCAGACAUAGGACUCUCAGCUACCUCUCCAGCACCAUGUCUGCCACCAUAACAAUAAUGGAUUAACCCUCUAACCUGUAAGCCAGCCCCAAUUAAAUGUUUUCCUCAGCCAAGGCAGUGGUGGUGCACGCCUUUAAUCCCAGCACUCAGGAACCAGAGGCAGGUGGAUCUCUGAGUUCAAGGGCAGCCUGGUCUACACAAUGUGUUCCAGGACAGCCAAGGCUACACACCCUGUCUCAAAAAGUCGGAAAAAAAAAAAAACUUUUCCUUUAUAAGAGUUGCCUUGGCUCAUCACUGGAGCAAGUCAAGCAGGGCAGGAACCUGGAGGCAGGAGCUGAUGCAGAGCCACACAGGAACACUGCUUACUGGGUUUCCCCCCAUGCCUUUUCAGCCUGCUUUCUUUCAGCAUCCAGCACCACCAGCCCAGGGGUGGCACUGUCCGGUUAGCUGGGCCCCUCCUACAUCAAUCACCAAUUAAGAAAAUGUACAGAAGGUACUCUGUAGGCUACUAAAAGAAACAUGGACACCAACCCAGUCACAAAACCUUUGACCUACAAUCUGUCCCACCUGAAAAAUAGGGCAAUGGUGCCACAGAACUUGUGGGAGUGGCCAAGCAGCAUCUGAUUUGAUUAAAAGCCCACUCCACAAAAAGGAAUGCAUACCCAACACUGCUUGGGUAACAAGAACCAGAGACUAGAUAGUUCAGAGACCUAGGGGAAAAACAAAACACUACUGGCAAGGGAGAAAAGGAGGGAGGGAAGCAGAGAGGGGAGAGAGAGAGAGAGAGAGAGAGAGAGAGAGAGAGAAGCUUCCUCUGGCAGAAGAUGGGAAGAGAUGCAGAGACCCAUAGUAGAGAAAGAGGCUAAAUUGGAGGUCUCCAUCAAAUCCCUCCCCUCAGAGCUCACAGGGUCCCUUGGAAGGAGAGGCUGGAGGACACCUGGAGAACAAGGCCCUCUGAAUCAGCUAAGCAAAGUACAUAUGAGCUCACAGAGACUGAGGCAGCAGUCACAGGGCCGACAGGGGUCUGCACCAGGUCCUCUGCAUCUGUACCACAGCUGUCAGCUUACUGUUUUUAUGGGACUCCUAACUGUGAGAACGAGUGAUGUCUGACUCCUGUGCCUGCUCUGGGGACUCUUCCUCCUACUGGGCUGCCAUGUCGGACUGCAGUAUCUCAUGUUUUACUUCAUUGUAUUAUUUUGCUUUGCCAUGUUUGGUUGCUAAUCUCUUAGAAGCCUGUUCUUUUCUACCGAGAGACAGAAGGCGAGUGGAUCCAGAGGAAAGAGGAAGUGGGGAGGAAGUCGGAGGAGAAGAGGUAGGGCCAACUGCAAUCAAGGGAUGUUGUAUGAGAAAAGAAUAUAUUUUCAAUAAAAAUAUAGAAAAAGACAAUGUUCUAUACAGACUUGGCCACAUGCCAGUCUCAAGGAGGCAUUUUCUCAGUUGAGUCCCCCUUCCCAAAUGGCUCUAGCUUGUGUCAAGGUGACAUAAAACUAGCCAGCACAGUUUGGCACGUUUGUCUUUGCCGAUAUAUCAUGGCCACCAUCAUAUGCUAGCCUUCCGUAGUAGACUAGAACAUAGGAUCCAUGGAAAUAGACCAAAAUGGAGAAAAAUCCAACAAUUGGGGCUCAUCUCUUUCUUCCAUUUGUUGCACGUGUACACACACACACACACACACACACACACACACACACACUUCUGCCAACUUACCUCAAGAAAACUGGAUCAUUCACAGCUGGGCAGACUGAACAUCUUUCUCCGGGUCAGUUUUCUUCAUUUUCCUAGGAAGAAAGAAUAGAGGGGUUGAAAAGCUGGUUGGGCUCUGGGAUGUGCCCACAGGACACUGUUAUUUUACCUUGGAAGAAGAAAAGGGGAUCAAAUAAAAGCAUCCAAGCCUCACUUUGGGGGAGAGCCGAACAAGAGGGAAGUGAUGGUAGAAAGAAAAGCAUGGGCUCAAGGAAGCCCUCACAGCCCUCGACUGUUCUACAAAUCACAACUACAACAUCACAGUGGCACUGAGACGGGGGGAUGGCUUUGCCAGUUGCAUGCUUAGAGCCACCUCAUCAACAGUGUUAAGGACAAAAUCCUAGAGCCCUCGGGUGUGGAAAGAGAGAAAACUCAGACAGAAAAACAGCAAUGACAAAUACCAAGGAGGAGAUGAGGAACUCAAGACCCCUGCAAAGGUAAGAUUGUGUGGUAAGAUAGCGCGGACAGCCAGAUGUGCCAAGUGUUGAAAAGAGAAGAAGGAAAAGAUGGCUGAGAUAUGCCCAAGAGUUUUGUCAAUAUGUGGCCACCGGUACCACCUGUAAUUCUGUGUUUGCCUCUGAAGCACAUUCCUGAAAGGAAACACGGGUGAAGAGACAUAUUAGCAAAACUAAGACAGAGAAAUCUCUUGCUGGGUAGAAGAGUUGAAUCUGAAAAGUGUGAGCCAUGAAGACAACUAAACAAUGUCCAGAUCACUGCAACAGGAUGGAGAGAUGUGGAGGACACUAGCCUCAAACUUGGCGCAGAGACAAGACAGAGCCAGCCUUGGAAUUCAAUUCUGUAAGCUGGGCCUGCUGUUGAGGAGGGCAGAUGGCAAGAGGAGGACUGGCCAAGGAGGACAAAUGCUGUCACAAUGGGCCAUGAAGUCUUCACCAAGUAGAGAGAGCGUGAAAGAGAACAUGGCCAAUUCUAGGAAAUGAGUCAAGGGCAUCCAAACAGCAUCGGAGAAUUGGAGAUCACUGGGAUCCUGCCAGUGGAGUGUGGCUCACGGACAAGACUCCAGUCCUCAGGCCCCUUCUUUUCUUACUCCUGUAUCCUCUCUUCCCAGAUUUCUCCUCCUAUAUAUUCUCUCUGCCUUCCAGCCCGUUCUCUCUCCUGCUUAGCUAUUGGCCAUUCAGCUCUUUAUUAGACCAAUCAGAUGUUUUAGACAGGUAAAGUAAAUGCAACCUCACGGAGUUAAGCCUCACGGAGUUAAGCAAAUGCAACCUUAACAAAUAUAACCCAUCUUUGCAUCAUUAAACAAUACUCCACAGAACAAGCAAAUGUAACACAUCUUCAGCUAAUAUUCCACACAAGGUAGGUGCCAGGUAAUGACACAUGUCUUUAAAUCCUCUUUAUUCUGUCAGCACCACAUACAAUGACAUACUUUACUAAGUUCUCAUUCAAACAUACACAUGCAUGUAAUGAUAAGUGUUUCUGCCAAGCUGCUCAGGCCCUGCUUCCAUAUGGGCGCUUUCCGCCAGGCCGCUCAAGUUCUACCCGACACCACGUUAAGGUCCCAAAUAACACAGAGAGACUUCUAUUAGGUACAAAUGCUGUUUGGCCAAUGACUAGGAUUUCUCACCUGCUAGCUCAGUCUUAAUUAUCAUAAAUAUAUAUUUUAUAAGACUUAUACAGGACGCCUUCCGGUGGUUCCCUCUCUUGCCGGCAGAUCACAUGGCAACUCCAGAGCAGAGACCAGGAGGAAGAGAGAAGGGGACAACUUCCUUCUUACCCUUGCUUAUAUAUGAGUCUCUCUGUUAUGUCACUUCCUGCCUGGAUCACCACUUUUUUACUACAUUUCCCAGAAUCCUCCUUGACUCCUAGUCCCACCUAACUUGCUGCCUCAUUGGCCAAAUAGUACUUUAUAUAUCAUCCAAUAAGACAAUCAUAUACACAGAAGGACCUCCCCCAUCACAUGCACACACACAGAGUGAGCAGAAAUAAAAUCAUCCCUGUCCAUAGCAGGUCAGGAAUCGGUCUCCUCUUUCUUCUCCAUGCAUCACAAGGGCAGAGGAUGAAAGCUUGGGACAUUCAUCAAUGAGCACACUGGUUCUCCUUCAUAACAUGGCAGAAGACAUCACACAGUGUCAUGUGGUGACAGGGUGGCUUCUGUUCUCUAAUCUAUCAUAACUUUUCCCACUGUGAUUGUCCUGUUCCCUCAAUUACCUUAAUCUAUCAGAAGGGCAGACUUGUGGUGACCUUAAACACUUCCUAAAGGCUCUGUCUCCAGUCUCACCACAGUAACAAAUUUCAGAGGGCUCCUCUGUGUCAGUCUCUCAGUACGUGGGGGCCACAAUGAUAACAAGGGAGAGGACAUCUAAUGAACAUCGAGGACUAAAUAUAAGCUUUCAUUCAUCUCUGAAUAUGCACUGGGUCUCCGGGAUAUAAACCUCUACACAGGAAUCCAAUACCAUGCAGUCAGAUUUAGAGCCAUUUGGAAGCUGGCUACUGAAAAAUAGUUUGGCUAAUUCGAAAAAGAAAGAAAAAGCAUGGGCAAUUUAAUAGCAGUAAAUAUUCAUGAACAGUUGAUGUUUAUUGACGUGGUCACUGACAGGAUGGAGAUCUUUCCCAAUCUGACUCGCUGUCCUUCAAAGAGGAAAGGGAUGGACAGCCAAAGGGUGUAACACUCAUGAGCUCACACCGUGAGGAAGAGGUUGCCCUCCCCACAUCAAGGCUGGUCCAGCUCGCUCCAGUCUGGCUCCUGGGAAGACAACCCCUGGAGCACAAGCACACCCUCACAUGUAACACUCACACACUAAGCACAGCACCAAACCCUAGAGGACCAAGAAAGACAGAUGUUUCUCUAGAAGGAAGCAGGACAGGUGUGACUUUUCCUUGGGAGUCUAUUUCUACUCACCCCAGAGAAAGGACAACAACAGACAUGUUUCCAUGCAAGUCCUGUUUGGUGAACCAAUUAUUAUGGCUGCUGAUAUAUAUACGGUGACCAUCACUGAUAGGCACAAGGGCAGCUUCACAGCUACACCACCAAAAACCCCCUCCUCCCUUGAAUCGUUUGCUGGUAUAAGUCUUCAGAGAGGGGGUGGGUUUCUUAAGCUUCGAUAGUCCUGCUCCUUCCAUGAAGGACAUUAAUGGUUCCCCAUUGUGUGAGGGUCUUGCAGGAGUGAUCAUGGCUGGUUUGACUCGGCGACCACAUCCAAUCUGGAAAGAAAAACCACACAGCACUCCACCCCUUUUAAGCCAAGACGCCACCAUCACCUCUUAGCGCUUUACUGCCUGUGAGUCUUACAAUGACUUCCACUCGUUGUAAAGAGACAUUCCCUUCCACUCGGGUCAACAGCAAAAACAAUCCAUGGCACCAAUAUGAGUGUUUAAAAGACAAUUUGACAGGCACAACAUAGCUAUUUAACAGAACAAUGGUGACUUCCCCACGAGACCUUAUGAGCACCCAGCCACAAAGUUUUAUCCUUGUUUUCAACAUCAAACAUAGGUGUCCUUCUGCUGUGUGGACCUUAAAUUCAACUGUAAAGUAUCUGUUUUCACCCAUAGCAGCCAUACACCUGCAUGGUACGCCAAUGGCAUUAGCAUUCAGGCUCCAUAACCAAGCAGGAUCAUUGGCAACCAUACUCUCCCAGGAGCUCGCAUAGCACCUUCCGGUCUUAUGAAUGCUAGCAUUCAUGGAGGGAACUUCCAGCCUGGCCCAACUUGGUUUCUCCAUGUCCUGAAACCAAAGUCUCUCGUCAGUGUAACCUUAUGGUACAGUGCCAGCAUGUAACCAACAGCAGUGACAGCAGCCGGUAGUGUGUGCCCUGGGACACUGCUACUGUCUUCAGUAACCUUAGGACUUCUGGACAUGUCUCUGCCUCCAUGCAGACACUUCCGAAUUAAGGCUGUUGUGUGAUUUUUCUGUUACCUUGUCGUGUAUCAUCUGCACUGAACCAGAAAGCUCCCGAACAUUUAACAGCUGUACCUCAUCCUUGCACCUUGUGAGGGGUGGUUUCCCACCCUUGCCCCCUUAGGUCUCCGUGCACACCCUUCUGGAACACAACUUAGGACUGUGUAACAGAACCUUUUAUAGUAAUUCGGGUAGGGCUGAGAACCCAACACUGUCUGUUCUAAGCAAAAUGCGGGUUGACCUCAGAAUUCAGCAGCCAAAAGAUGAAAGAAGAUAGGUAAGAUACCAUACAGCAUCCAAUGAUCCCAUUGUUUUUAUUAAAUCAUUUCCUCACAAGAGAAAUGUUUGGUUCUGUGGCGUGAUGGGAAGCACUGAGCCCUCGAUAAUCCACAUUCAUUCUGCAUGAGCCACGCUGCCUCCUCUUUCUGUGUCAUCUCCUAGCUGGGCGGGGCUAGUUCAUGCUCCCUGUUGCUCAACCCAGUCUAGAGCUAAGGGGUCGCAAGCGUGUGUCCUCACCUGCUGCACCCUCCAGUCAAGCUGACUCUCUAGUGACAGGCCUCUCCAUCCCUGAUGGGCCAUGCCUGACUCCUAGAAGGGUCCUGAGCCAGGUGAACAAUCCCUAUGACCACAAUAUACUUUUUUUGCAAGGGAGAAAUGUACAACAAAUACUAGGGCGUGUGGAUAACUGCCCACCACUGGGACAAGCUUAAUUUUUCACCCAUGCAACUAUUAUUUCUCCCUUCCAACCAUGUGGGGAACCACUUGUCAGGACAUAAUGCCUUCCAGAGACUAACAGGGAAUGAGUGUGGUUUCUUGUCAGUUUUCUCCCUGGGAGUCCAAUUUGGCACAGAUACCCCACAUUUGCUCUUAAACCUAAACAAAUACUUUGUCUGUUUUUUUUUCUCCUCUUGAACAUGAUGAAAUAUAAAGGGAGAUUGGGAAUAGGAUGUAGAACUCAGAGGGGAAGGACCUGAAGAAAUUCUGCAGCAAACAUCCAUAGCUGAGAGCAGACGACUGGAGAGCAACAUCAGCCAGAAACGACUGCACAGACCUUCCGACCAGCUCUGUGUGUGUGCCUGAGGCCCAGGGCUGGUGAGGUGCCAGGCCAGGAGCACUAGGCAGCUCGCAUGGAGGCAGUUAGACACACCAAUGGACUUAGAAAAACUGUUGGAGUUGACAUUGUGGGCACAGACCAGAUUGACAGGAAAAGAAUAUCACCAGAACCUUCGUGCUCCACCUUGUCCUGUGUCUCAGCUGUGACUUCCAUACAUGGGGAAUGGCGAGGCAGCACCAAAACAUUAAAAGGCUGCUGAGUACACAGGCCCAGAAUGGCUCUCAGCAAACAUCCAAAGCAGAGCAGCCUGUGGGGUUCCCGCUACCUGAAAGCAUCAGGGGCAGUUCUCAAGUUAAAUUGGUUCCCUUUUCUUUCAAUGUCAACCAUCUAAAGACAAGUUUUGAGAAUUUCACAGAACCGAUCCCUGCUCACAGUUCAGCAAGUAAAGCACAUGGUUCCUGCCUGGUCUGUGAUUGAUUGUUGACAGUUCUCCCCACGCUAGCAGCCACCGCUGUGGUGAGCUCAUGGCACCGGCUGUGCCAUGCCCACAAGAGAACAAACCACAGCUCUCCUCCCUCUCUCAGCUCCUAUGCUUUUCCUGAGCCUUCCAUAAAUGUUCAUUAGGGCUGAACAUGCCACCAUGCCUGCUUGAGGAAACUCGUUCAUAUUGCCAGACAGAAGCCUUGGAGAAGCCUGUGAGCCGCCACCCAGAGGGAGCCCCCUGCCCUCCAGGAGGGGCUGUUGACAGUUCAGUCACUGGAUCCACCAUCUUUGAUAAUAAUAAUCAUCUAAGACAAACAACUGAUGAUUGUGUCCCCCAAACCAAGACUGUUCAUCCCUGAACUAGGAGGUGUCAGCUGCCCAAAGAGGAGGCCAGGUUGGCACUGCUCUGCCACAGGAAAAGCCUUAAUGUUUCAAAACAAAAACACUCUGAUAAACUUCAAAGAGAGUAAUGUGGCUAGCCAGUUUGAUGAUUUUUUAUUUUAAUUCAGUAAAAUUUAAAAACUAACUUCCCUGAAUGCUGCUCAUUACAAUACCUUCUGACAUGAUAAAAAACAAACAAACAAACAAAAAAAAAACAUGGAAAAAUGAAUGCAACAGUGUAAGACCUGAAGCAACAUCAUUUUUUUUUUCAAAAUGAAUAAGCUUCAGAGGAACCUUAAGCUUUCAUCUUCAAAAGGGACCAAAAACUGGACUGGAGAGAUGGUUGGACCCUUGAGAGAGCUCAAUGCUCUUUGAGGAGACCUGGUUCAAUUCUCAGCAUCCACAUGGGGCUCACAACCACUUCCAACUCCAGUUCCAGGGGAUCUGAUGCCUCUUCUGGCCUCUGAGGACACUGCACGCACGUGGUACACAGACAUGAAGAUAAAACACUCAUAGAAAUUUUAAACAUACAUAAGACAAACUUUCUU